rnacentral:lncRNA from 10 species
CGCCGCCAUCUUUUCUCCCCUCAGCCCGCCAGCCCCGCGGCCGGGACCCGCCACCGAAUGACGGCCCCCGCGCGCGGCCAAUCCGCGAAGCCGCGCCUGCGCACCAGAGGCGGGCGGGAGCGGGCGGAGGGCGGGGAAUGAAUCUAAGCCUCCAGAGACAGCGCCUCCUGCUGCCUGAACGAGAACUGCACCUUUCUCUGCAAGGAUCUCUGGAUUUGUGUGAAAACUGAGCCCCAGACAGGUUAAGGGGCUUUCCUAAAGUUGCACAAAUGGCUUCUACUCACCAGAGGAUCUGAGUCCAGAGAACUUGGGGUGCUGUCUUUGACUGUCCUAUCCUCGGGAGGCGCAGUGGCUCAUGCCUGUAAUCCCAGCAUUUAGGGAGGCCAAGACAGGAAGAUCACUUGAGGUCAGAAGUUCAAGACCAGCCUGGCCAACGUGGUGAAACCCUGUUUCUACU